UGACAGAGCAUGUAAAGUGCUUUUCCUUCGGGACAGAGGAGACAGGUGGUGCAUGGUUGUCGUCAGCUCGUGUCGUGAGAUGUUGGGUUAAGUCCCGCAACGAGCGCAACCCUUGCCGUCAGUAGCCAGCAGGUGAAGCUGGGCACUCUGGCGGGACAGCCGGGGAUAACCCGGAGGAAGGCGGGGAUGACGUCAAAUCAUCAUGCCCCUUAUGAUUUGGGCUGCACACGUGCUACAAUGGCGUAAACAGAGGGAAGCGAAGCCGAGAGGUGGAGCAAAUCCCAGAAAUAACGUCCCAGUUCGGAUUGUAGUCUGCAACUCGACUACAUGAAGCUGGAAUCGCUAGUAAUCGCGAAUCAGAAUGUCGCGGUGAAUACGUUCCCGGGUCUUGUACACACCGCCCGUCACACCAUGGGAGCCGGAAACGCCCGAAGUCAGUGGCCCAACCGGAAGGAGGGAGCUGCCGAAGGCAGGGCUGGUAACUGGGGUGAAGUCGUAACAAGGUAGCCGUAUCGGAAGGUGCG
rnacentral:rRNA from 1 species